UACGGAGGGUGCAAGCGUUCUCCGGCAUCACUGGGUUUAAAGGGUGCGUCGGCGGCUUGAUAAGUCAGGGGUGAAAGCCCGCAGCUUAACUGCGGAACUGCCUUUGAUACUGUCGAGCUUUAAAGAGGUUGAGGUCAGCGGAACGUGACAUGUAGCGGUGAAAUGCAUAGAUAUGUCACAGAACACCGAUUGCGAAGGCAGCUGGCUGGACCUACUUUGACGCUGAGGCACGAAAGCGUGGGGAGCGAACAGG
rnacentral:rRNA from 1 species